rnacentral:lncRNA from 1 species
AAGGUUUUAAAACUGCUUUAAUGGAAAGGUUCCUCACUCCUCCCCACCCCCCAACACACCAUCUGGGGUUGGGUAUAUAUGGCCAGGGCUGGCCCUAGGACUACUGAAAUAAUUCCCCAAAUACACAUCUGCCACCAUAAAAAACCACGGCACCACCUCAGCCCCACAGGUAUAAAGUCAUAAAUAUUUACACUCUUCCAUUCCUUUCACAGAGCCAGGGUGCAGGGAACCCCUCCCAUAGAAACAAGCUAGGAUAGAGGCAGGCAGAAAACAAAACUUGGGUCUAAAAUUUGCAAGAAGAAACCCACAAGUCUCAGAGCUUUUUCUCCAACCCUGGCCUGGGCCCAUCUGCUACUUGGUCA